GGUCUGUGCAUCCACCGCCGAGCGGCCUAUAUAGGGGGUGCCGGCUUGCCGGCUAUGGAAAUAAAUCGCCGUCGAAAUAAACCAUUCGGACCCGGGGGCGGUACCCGGCGCCUCCACCAAAGUCCGCCUUGGAGACAUCUCGGAUGUCGGGCUUCGGCGGGGGCGAAAUAGGAUCGACGAGGGCGUAAAGGGCGAGCUUUUUCCCGGUAUUGUUCCGCCGUUAUCGGGCUACUGCAAUAGUUGCCAACGACAACUUUGCUCCGGUUGCUCAGGCUGCGUAACGCAGUUUGAAAG
rnacentral:tmRNA from 1 species